rnacentral:rRNA from 1 species
UUUUAUAAGAGUAACCCCAAAUUGUAAAAGUUUAUAGGGAGAUUUCAUUAGUUUGAAAGUCAUAAUGUUGAAAUUAGUAGAGAAAAAUUAUAUUUUUUGUGAAUUAAUCAAUCCUAACCGUUGGAUGGGGUAAUAGUUUAUAGUCGAGAAACUAGUUUAUUUAGGUUGUCUACUAACUCAAGUAAUAUAUUAAAAAUUUAAGUAAGGAAAAGGAAUUCGGCAAAUAAAAACUUCGCCUGUUUACCAAAAACAUCGCUCUUUGUAAAGAGUCUAAUACAUAAAGAGUCCUGCCUGCCCGGUGACUUAGUUAAACGGCCGCGGUAUUUUGACCGUGCAAAGGUAGCAUAAUCAUUUGCCUUUUAAAUGGGGGCUGGUAUGAAUGGCAAGACGGGAGUUAAGCUGUCUCUUUCUUAUAAUUUUGAAGUUAAUAUUCUUGUGAAGAAGCAGGAAUUCGAUCGUAGGACGAGAAGACCCUAUCGAGCUUUAGUAUACAUAAAGUGCAAUCUGUUAAUGCUAUUUUACUGCUAAUUAGGUAUUAUAAAUAGUUAGUGUAAGCUUUACUGUAAAGUAGUAGUAGUGUUGUAUUUAGUGCUUAGGUUGGGGCAACCGCGGAGAAUAAGGAUCCUCCGCUAUUUAAUUAGAAGAAAAAUUUUUUUAUAAUAUAAGGUUUUAUUUAUAAAGUGAUCCACUAAGAAAGGUGAGCAAAAGAAUAAGUUACCGUAGGGAUAACAGCGUAAUUUUUUUGGAGAGUUCAUAUUGAUAAAAAAGUUUGCGACCUCGAUGUUGGAUCGGGAUUUCCUAGGGAUGCAGCAGUUCCUAA